rnacentral:rRNA from 1 species
GACGAACGCUGGCGGCGUGCUUAACACAUGCAAGUCGAACGGAAAGGCCCUGCUUUUGUGGGGUGCUCGAGUGGCGAACGGGUGAGUAACACGUGAGUAACCUGCCCUUGACUUUGGGAUAACUUCAGGAAACUGGGGCUAAUACCGGAUAGGAGCUCCUGCUGCAUGGUGGGGGUUGGAAAGUUUCGGCGGUUGGGGAUGGACUCGCGGCUUAUCAGCUUGUUGGUGGGGUAGUGGCUUACCAAGGCUUUGACGGGUAGCCGGCCUGAGAGGGUGACCGGCAAAAUUGGGACUGAGAUACGGCCCAGACUCCUACGGGAGGCAGCAGUGGGGAAUAUUGAACAAUGGGCGGAAGCCUGAUGCAGCAACGCCGCGUGCGGGAUGACGGCCUUCGGGUUGUAAACCGCUUUCGCCUGUGACGAAGCGUGAGUGACGGUAAUGGGUAAAGAAGCACCGGCUAACUACGUG